rnacentral:rRNA from 1 species
AUGAACAUAAUGAGAAGAGAAAACCCUGGAAUCCCUGAUGAUUAUUAUGUUUCUAGCUUUGUGGCAGGGCUUAACCCAUAUAUUAAAAGUCAUGUGGAGUGCUUCACGCCUAAGGAUAUGCAGACUACAGUGUGGUAUGCUAGGAGGAUGGAGAAAGCCCAGGUUCUAGCUACUGUAGUGCAAACUAAACCUUAUGUCCCUCAACCUAGAAGGCAAGUAGUAUUUGAUCAGCCCAAAACCCCUGUAACUACUGUCACACCAAACAGAAACACUAUUAUUCAGCAGGCAAAACAAAACCAAGUGUGUUAUAAGUGCAGAGAGCCUUGGGUGCCUGGUCAUAGACAGGUCUGUAAAAUGAGCCAGAGAGCUCAGAUCCAAGCACUACAAGUUGAGGAAGUUGAAAAUCCUGAGACAAUCUAUGUUACAUAUUUUGAUGACCCUGAUUUGGAAACACUAGAACAACCAUCUGGUGAAGCAGUAUUGAAAGUGUCAAUGCAUGCUGCUAUGGGAAUAGGAGCAACCAAAAAUACUUUUAUAUUGUCCGUAAAGAUAGGCAAUAUAGUUGCCACAGCACUGGUGGACAGUGGUAGUACUUCUACCUUCAUCUCUCCUGAAGUGGCAAGUAAAUUACCUGUCAGUACAAGCCCUACACCCAAGAUAAAGGUAGUGGUUGCUAGUGGGGGAGUGCUAUGGACUGAAUUUCAAGCAAAGGACUGCCCUUAUGAAAUUCAAGGCCAUCUCUUUACUGACAGUUUCAGAGUGCUUAAACUGAAAGGAUAUGACAUGAUUUUGGGAGUUGAUUGGCUCAGAAAAUAUAGCCCAAUACAAAUGGACUUUAUUAAAAUGGAAAUGACAAUUUCUGACAGCUCUGGACAGUUUAUUACAUUUGUGGAUGAGACUGUUCCCCUAGCCCCUGUAGCUGAAGCCAAGGACAACACUGAAAAACUGUUAGAACAAGCUGUUUGUGGGUUUUUCUUGUUCACAACCUCUGGUACUGAAUUUACAGCUGCUAGUUCAGAAAUUCCUACUGAAUUGCAGCCACUGCUGGACCAGUAUGACCAGCUGUUUCAGGAGCCAACUGAAUUGCCUUCUAGCAGGCCUUGUGAUCACAGAAUCCCACUAGUGGAAGGAGCAAAAGUAGUUAACCAGAGGCCUUAUAGAAUUCCUCACCAUCAGAAAGAAAUUUUGGAUAAAAUCAUCAAAGAGCUACUGAAAAAUGAGAUAAUCAGACCUAGCACAAGCCCAUUUUCCUCUCCUGUGCUACUGGUCAAGAAAAAAGAUGGAUCUUGGAGGUUAUGCACUGAUUACAGAAAAUUGAAUGUUAUAACUAUCAAGAAUAAAUAUCCCAUUCCUGUAAUUGAGGACCUUUUGGAUCAACUGAAAGGAGCAAAGAUUUUUUCCAAAAUUGACCUAAGAAAUGGAUAUCACCAAAUCCGAAUGGCAGAAGAGGAUAUUCCAAAAACUGCAUUUACUACUCACAUGGGACUGUUUGAAUUUUUAGUUAUGUCCUUUGGACUAACUAAUGGUCCUCCCUCCUUCCAGGCAUUAAUGAAUUUACUGUUUGGCCAUCUUAAGUUUGUAGUGGUUUUCUUUGAUGAUAUAUUGGUGUUCAGUUUUUCAUUAGAGGAACACAAGGACCAGUUGAAGCAGAUGUUUGAUAUAUUACAAGCAAACAAGCUAUAUGCAAAAAUGGAAAAUUGCUCUUUUGGUCAGCAAGAGAUUGAGUAUUUGGGUCAUGUGAUUAACUCUGAGGGAGUUUCUACUGACCCAUCUAAGAUUCAGUCCAUUAGAGAUUGGCCAACUCCUAAAAUUGUCACUGAACUGAGAAGUUUUUUGGGGCUAAGUGGAUAUUACAGAAGGUUUAUCCAGGGAUAUGGAGUAAUUUGUAGACCACUAUUUGACUGCUUGAAGAAGGAUGGUUUUUCUUGGAAAAAAGAGCAACAAGAAGCAUUUGUGACCUUGAAAAACAAGCUUACCAGCACCCCUGUGUUAGCACUGCCUGAUUUCUCCAAACCUUUUAUUUUGGAAACUGAUGCUUGUGGGUAUGGACAAGGAGUUGUGUUGAUGCAAGAGGGAAAGCCUAUUUCUUACUUCAGCAAGAGCAUUGGCCCCAAAGCAGCUGCAAUGAGCACUUAUGACAAGGAAGCCUUGACCAUAAUUGAAGCUGUUAAGCAAUGGAAGCACUAUUUCUUAGCAACAUCCUUAGUGAUCAGAACUGAUCAGGAAAGUCUGAAAUAUAUUCAGGAACAAAAAAUUACAGAAGGAAUUCAACAUAAACUGUUGCUGAAGUUGCUAGGAUAUAAUUUUACAAUUGAGUACAAGAAAAGCAAGGAGAACAGGGUGGCUGAUGCAUUAUCUAGAGUGAAACAUGUGAUUCAUGCUUUAACUGCAACUGCCGCUUCUCCUACUUGGGUCAAGCAGGUCACAGCAAGCUACCAUCAAGAUAGUAAGAUCAACGAGCUCAUUGUUGAAUGUGUUGUGGGCAAAUCUGAUACCUUUGCUUACUCCUUCAAAAAUGGCAUAUUGAGAUUUCAUAACAAGAUUGUAGUGGGAUCUGCUUCUACUCUGAGACAAGAAAUCCUCCAAACAUUCCAUAAUUCAGAGUUGGGAGGUCAUUCUGGUGAGAGGGCUACAUACCAGAGAGUGAAGUUAAUUUUUCACUGGCAGGGUUUAAAACAAGAUGUAGUGCAGUUUGUCAAGCAAUGCCCUAUUUGUCAGUUGAACAAAACUGAGCACACUCCUUACCCUGGAUUAUUAGAACCACUUCUUGUGCCUGAUUUUGCCUGGGCACAUGUGAGCAUGGAUUUUGUGGAAGGGUUGCCUAAUUCUGAACACAAGAACUUGAUUUUGGUGGUGGUUGACAGAUUCACCAAGUACUCUCAUUUCAUUGCUAUGAGACAUCCAAUUACAGUACAAUCUGUUGCAAGAGCAUUUGCUGAUAAUGUGUUCAGGUUGCAUGGGAUGUCCCUAGUAAUUGUCACUGACAGAGACAGAAUUUUUACUAGUCAUCUUUGGCAGCAACUGUUCAAGUCCUUGAAAAUCAAGUUGCAUUUGAGCACCAGCUACCACCCUCAAACUGAUGGUCAAACUGAAAGGGUUAACCAGUGUUUGGAGAAUUACUUAAGAUGCAUGUGUUUCCAACAACCCAGGAAGUGGCAUGGGUGGCUAUCCCUAGCUGAGUGGUGGUACAACACCUCCUUCCACACAUCACUCAAAAUGACACCCUUUCAGGCCCUGUAUGGUUUUCCUCCCCCUAUGAUUGCUGAAUCUGCCUUGCCUGAUGCAAUUUUUGAGGACAAUGAGGAUCUAUUGCAUAAUAGAGAAGUGGCACUGGAAGUGAUCAAGCAUAAUUUGCUGAAAGCUCAAUCUAGAAUGAAGUUUUUUGCAGAUAAAAAGAGGAAAGAAAGAGAAUUUGUAGUGGGGGACAUGGUCUAUUUGAAGUUGCAACCCUACAGACAUACUUCUCUCAGCCUGCAUAGGCACAUGAAGCUGCACUCUAAAUUGUAUGGCCCAUUCAGAAUAAUGGAAAGAAUUGGAAAUCAUGCUUAUAAAUUACUGCUACCAGAGGGUUGUCAGCUGCAUGACACAUUUCAUGUCAGCCAACUUAAGAAGCACAUUGGACCAACAGUCAUCCCUUCCCCUAUGCUACCACUAGUUGGUCCUGAUGGAAUCAUCAAAGUGGAGCCUGAAGCUGUGCUGGAAAGAGCUCUGGUUCCAAGGAAGCAAGGAAACAUCAGUAUUCCUGUCGUUUGGUGGCUGGUCAAAUGGACCAAUAUGCCUAUGGAAGAAGCUACUUGA